rnacentral:rRNA from 1 species
UACGGGGGGAGCAAGCGUUGUUCGGAUUUACUGGGCGUAAAGGGCGCGUAGGCGGUUCGUUAAGUCCUGUGUGAAAUCCCCCGGCUCAACUGGGGAACUGCACAGGAAACUAGCGGGCUUGAGUUCGGGAGAGGGAAGCGGAAUUCCGGGUGUAGCGGUGAAAUGCGUAGAUAUCCGGAGGAACACCAGUGGCGAAGGCGGCUUCCUGGACCGACACUGACGCUGAGGCGCGAAAGCUAGGGGAGCAAACGGG